GAGGUUGAACAGAAAACGGUGAGCAUUGCUAAAUCUUAUCCCCCGAAGUUAAAGUCUUCGGCCACCUUG
rnacentral:tRNA from 1 species